rnacentral:rRNA from 1 species
AGUGAACGCUGGCGGUAGGCCUAACACAUGCAAGUCGAACGGCAGCACAGUAAGAGCUUGCUCUUACGGGUGGCGAGUGGCGGACGGGUGAGGAAUACAUCGGAAUCUACUUUUUCGUGGGGGAUAACGUAGGGAAACUUACGCUAAUACCGCAUACGACCUACGGGUGAAAGCAGGGGAUCUUCGGACCUUGGGCGAUUGAAUGAGCCGAUGUCGGAUUAGCUAGUUGGCGGGGUAAAGGCCCACCAAGGCGACGAUCCGUAGCUGGUCUGAGAGGAUGAUCAGCCACACUGGAACUGAGGCACGGUCCAGACUCCUACGGGAGGCAGCAGUGGGGAAUAUUGGACAAUGGGCGCAAGCCUGAUCCAGCCAUACCGCGUGGGUGAAGAAGGCCUUCGGGUUGUAAAGCCCUUUUGUUGGGAAAGAAAAGCAGCAGGUUAAUACCCCGCUGUUCUGACGGUACCCAAAGAAUAAGCACCGGCUAACUUCGUG